rnacentral:lncRNA from 1 species
UUCAUUCAAUUCAAUUCUGGGAACAUUCAGGACACACAAAACAUUACUUCCUAAAAUAACUUGGUACAGUCUAAUCACUUCCAGAUACCAGCAACAACCACACCAAUCAUCACACCUAUAAAACCUACAAAUACAGCUGCUAGAACAGAAACCCCUGGUCGCUGGUUUCUUGCUCCGGAUGUGGACCAAAGCAACAUGGCAAAAGGGGCACUCCCUUCUACCGCUAGCCGUCGAGCUCGAGGCACUGGAAGUUGCCUUCAUGGGGCCGCGACUCCACUUCCCGGCCAUGGCUUCAGAGUUGGACGCCGCCAUCGAACUGAGCCUCCAGAGCACUAGAAGCAGUAGACCUCAGGCCACCGUGCUAGGCUGCUCCAUCGUGGGCUGUGAUGUCGGCUCAAGAGGGGAAUCAACGCUGGAUGGAUUCUAGGGAUUGGGUUCGUGGAGAAGGGGAACAGAGAAGGAGGAACACGGUGAGGAACGGAGUCGUACGGGAGAAGAAGACCGAGCCGCGACUGCUUCUAUCGUGGGUAGGCAGGGGCAUCGGUGUCCAUAGGCUGGUUGCGUAUGCGUAUCCCAGGCCCAGACAGCUUGUCUACAUAGAAAAUGGCAAUCAUCAGGAAGAUUGAGAAUUGUAAUGGCAUGUUUUGAAAUACCCGAAUUGUAAUGACAUUUCUCCAACUUCGAAGAAUUGUAAUGGCUCAGAUAAAAAAAACCCAAAAAAAUUACGGCCCAAUAAGUCGGACGACGACUGCGAUGGACACGAAGGCGACGAGCUCGGUGGUGACUGAUGAGGUGCGGGUUGGGGAACGCGGUGAGGUACUCGGCGUCGGCAGAGGAGUCUGGGAGCAGGAGGAGGAGGAGGUUGAGGAGGCGCGGAGAACUAGAACCGCGAGGAGCAGGUCACGGAGGAUGAACGUGCCCCACGGGAGGAGGAAUGGAGGAUCGGGAUCCUAAGCGCGACGAGAGCCACGGCGGCGACGCCCGGCCCUGAACCUGAAGGCGCGGCGCCCAAGUUGUCGACGAAGGCCGCGGCGAGCAGUGCAUCCAUGUGGUGCGCGGAUGGCUGGGCGUAUGCCACGAGGUGUAUCACGUUAGUUUCCACCGCAGUGGCGCAGGAGAAGGGGAGCGGCGGUGAUGUGCAGUUGCUGAAUGCGGCACCCUCCAUAUAUUCGAUGAAAUGGCAAUAACAAUGACUAAGGGUUAACAUUACCAUGUUCUGAGGGCAGCGACGGAACCAAUUUUUGUUAGUAUGAUAAAAUAUAUAUAAUUAUAUGUUUGAUAAACUUUUAAAAAAGUAUUACACUAUUUUUUACCAAAAUUAUCAUAUUUGAAUAAAAAAUAUGUGAAAUUGAUAUUUAUUAUACUAUAAAUAUUAGUAUUUAUAUAGGUAUUUAAGGAAAGAUUAGGCUUUGGGAGGGGCACUGCCUGGUUACGCCACUGGUUCUAAGCCAGGGUCAUCAUACUCUUCUAUACAGAUAAACAAACACGUUCUUAGCCGAACACGAUUCUGCAUAAAUAUGAAAUCAAACACACACACACUUCUUCCAUUUGGAUCGGGCCCUGGCUGACCAGCCAGCCAAUUCGGAGAAAUCGAGUCAACCCACUUAUGGUGGCUGCGCGGAGGAGCGGCACCAAGGGCCUCGUGGAUGUGGAGGGAGCUGUUCGGUCGGUCCAUAGAGCAGCGGGAGGUGGCGGGCGGGCGUGCGAGCCAAGGCCACACCUACCGAGCACGGGCGGAGCUGUGAAGCCGCGGUGCGGCGCAUAUGCAGGCAAGGGGUGAGGCGAGUCGCGUGAGGUGGGGCUAGGUGGCAACAUGGUGACGAUGGGUGCCUAGUGAGAGACGUAGGGCGUGUUUGUGAAGGUGGCUCCGCCUAGCACGGCUACCUGGCAUGACCCUAGCCAGUCCGAGCAUGGCUCAUAUGGUGCAACAACACGUGUUUGUAUCACUGGUUCAGACAAGCCCGACUUAAGUGAGAUCGUGUUUGGUUCGUGUCUCAAGUGGCUACGGUUACUUCGGACUAGAAAUUUGGUAGACUUACCACCACAAUUUUAUUUAGAAACAAAUUUGUGUAAUUAUUAAUUAAAUUAAUAAUAUUAAUUUGAUAAACAUGUGACAUGGUAAACAUUGUUGGGAACACAUAUUUCACGCGGACACGGUCGCUAUGCAACAAGAACCGAACUACAACUCUAGGUGGCUUUUAAUUAUAAAUUUAUUAAAUAAAUAUUAAACAAAUUAUAUUUAAAUCAAUAAAUGUAUAAACGAGUCAUAUAAUAAAUAUUUGCACUGCUGCGUAGAACACGACGACACAAAUCUAACGCAACUGGAACGAUUCGAAUCGGAAUUAGGAUGGUUAAAUGAUGAAUAAUUAAAGGACAAUGGCAAACUUGUAAAUACCAUCAUCUUCAACCUUGGGUCCUGUUCGUGAACGCAGUGGCCAAUUAGAAGAUCGGAAGCAGCAGCUGCUGGGCACCGGGAAGGGAGGGCUCGGCCGAGACUUGGCCAGGCCGGCGGCGCAGCGGCAUGUGGCCAGAUGACCCACGCGCUGGGUCGGGGCAAGGGCCCGCACGACGACCUGCACGGGCCACACAGAGCCGGCCAUGCGGCCGUGAGCGGCGCCGGCGGCUGUUUGCGCAGCACGCAAGGGAGGCACGCACAGCGCGGGGCUCGACGUGGUGGUGUGGUUAGGGUCGGGGAGCGGCGCUAGGCCCGAGGCGAGGAGGGCCGCGGCCAUGGCCGGAGAUAGCCUGGAACAGAGAAAAUCAUAGUAAAGUUCGUCGGAGAAGAGAGAAGGGGAAGGGAACUGGCCAAACCGACAUGGAUUUACAAAACGAAUGGCGUGCCGGUGUAGAGGAUGAUGAGACGAACCUCGCAGCGGUGACAGUUUUCGCAGAGGUCGCCGGAGUUGACCGGAAAAGCUCGCCGAACUUUCACCGGAAAAGUUCGCCGGAAACGAGAUCUAAAACUUCGGCGACCGAUCUACGGGGCUACGAGUGGCGGCUCGCAAAAGCGG